rnacentral:ncRNA from 18 species
UUAUAUGAUGAUAAUUACUAUGCUCGAAGAUAUUUCGAUGUGAGCAUACGAUUUCUCAAUAGACUACAACGGUAUCUGAUA